UUUAAUCCCAGCACUCGGGAGGCAGAGGCAGGCGGAUUUCUGAGUUCGAGGCCAGCCUGGUCUACAAAGUGAGUUCCAGGACAGCCAGGGCUAUAGAGAAACCCUGUCUUGAAAAAACCAAAAAAAAAAAAAAAAGAUUUGGUCUGAAGGCUGGAUACACAAUUGAAGACUCCUUUAUGGUUUUGACAGAAAACUGGCUAAGUUGGUUCCUUUCAAAAGGGAGAUUACACUUAAUCGGGUAACUAAAAUGCUCAGGGCCAUGACUUUCAGAUCCAGGUUCAUCCGGGUACACAAGAGACUCUGGAAAUCCAGCCCCAUCCUUUGGCUUUUCUUGGCGCCUCAUUAUUGAUCGUCAUCUCGAUGUGGACAAUGAGGACAAUCGCCACUAGCCCUGUACUUGAUUCUCAUCUAGUGGGAGAUUCUCAUCAGAUUCUAGCACCGGUCUGUCCCUGGACCGCUGUGUGUGGCUGUGCAGCCCUGACAUGUUUGUUGUGUAGCUAGAACGCAGCACACAGAUCAGCCACGACUCACUGUCCUCUCAUCCAAAUCAAGGCUGAAAAGGAGGGUCAGAUGACUCUCCAGGGAGGAGUGACUGAGCAACAUCCUGAAGGAACUAACCUGCCUGCCUCCUGCCAGGACUGCAUUUUAGAGUUAGAACUGCUCUCGUUGUCAAAGUGCAGAGACUACGUGACUGGCGAGGACUCAGCCCUCAGCAGGACAUUGAGGUCACCUACUCCAAGGCCUGGGGAACAUCGCAGAAAAGAAGAGAAGAACCAGCGGACGGGGACCAGGGGCUGUGGACCCCUCUCUUCUGGAUAGGACUUGCCCAUUACAGUCACAACCACACAGCAUCUGUGGGUACCUGCUGCCCAUCAACGGUCCAUCCCAGAUGAUGGAGAGGACCAGGAGGCCCAACCCAUCCUGGGGAGUGGUUGCCCAUCCCCAGUGCUGCGUGCCGCCAUGCAUGG
rnacentral:lncRNA from 1 species